rnacentral:rRNA from 1 species
CAGAGGGGGCAAGCGUUAUUCGGAAUUAUUGGGCGUAAAGGGCGCGUAGGCGGCUUAGCAAGUGACGGGUGAAAUCCCUCGGCUUAACCGAGGAACUGCCUGUCAAACUGCAUGGCUUGAGACCGGGAGAGGUGAGUGGAAUUCCCAGUGUAGCGGUGAAAUGCGUAGAUAUUGGGAGGAACACCAGUGGCGAAGGCGGCUCACUGGACCGGUACUGACGCUGAUGCGCGAAAGCGUGGGGAGCAAACAGGAUUAGAUACCCUGGUAGUCCACGCCGUAAACGAUGAGUGCUUGGUGUAGCGGGUAUCGACCCCUGCUGUGCCGAAGUCAACACAUUAAGCACUCCGCCUGGGGAGUACGGUCGCAAGGCUG